AUUGAACGCUGGCGGCGUGCCUUACACAUGCAAGUCGAACGGUAACGGGUCCUUCGGGAUGCCGACGAGUGGCGAACGGGUGAGUAAUAUAUCGGAACGUGCCCAGUAGUGGGGGAUAACUGCUCGAAAGAGCAGCUAAUACCGCAUACGACCUGAGGGUGAAAGGGGGGGAUCGCAAGACCUCUCGCUAUUGGAGCGGCCGAUAUCAGAUUAGCUAGUUGGUGGGGUAAAGGCCUACCAAGGCAACGAUCUGUAGUUGGUCUGAGAGGACGACCAGCCACACUGGGACUGAGACACGGCCCAGACUCCUACGGGAGGCAGCAGUGGGGAAUUUUGGACAAUGGGCGCAAGCCUGAUCCAGCAAUGCCGCGUGCAGGAAGAAGGCCUUCGGGUUGUAAACUGCUUUUGUCAGGGAAGAAAUCUUCUGGGCUAAUACCCCGGGAGGAUGACGGUACCUGAAGAAUAAGCACCGGCUAACUACGUGCCAGCAGCCGCCGCAG
rnacentral:rRNA from 1 species